GUGUAUGUACACAGCUCUGCUGGUAGAGCAUGAGAUUCUUAAUCUCAGGGUUGUGGGUUCGAGCCCCACCUUGGGCA